rnacentral:rRNA from 1 species
UACGGAGGAUGCGAGCGUUAUCCGGAUUUAUUGGGUUUAAAGGGUGCGUAGGCGGUCCGUUAAGUCAGCGGUAAAAUUGCGGGGCUCAACCCCGCUCCGCCGUUGAAACUGUGUCCCUUGAGUGCGCGAAGGGUAGGCGGAAUGCGUGGUGUAGCGGUGAAAUGCUUAGAGAUCAUACAGAACACCGAUUGCGAAGGCAGCUUACCAAACUAUAUCUGACGUUGAGGCACGAAAGCGUGGGUAGCAAACAGG